rnacentral:lncRNA from 1 species
AUUUGAGAUGCCAUUUCACCCUGCUGUGUGGGACUGAGAUGGACUGCUGUCUUCAUGCACACAAACAGUACAGCAGGGUGUGGGACAGUGUUGCAAAGGUGACCAGAGAGAGAAAUGUUCAGCAGUUUCUCCAAGAAUCAGCAUCUUUCAGCAAAAUCCCUGAAUUUACCUUCCAGCCUGCUCUGCGUGACAAGGUGUCAGUUAUGCAGGAAGUUUGUGGUUCAGAAGAAGAGGGCUGCCUGGUGAAGGAGGCUAAGAAAUGGACUGCCAAGGUGGCAAAAGACCACAAGAUCAUUGCCCACGGAGAGAGGGCUCUACAGAUGUUAGCGAGCCGACUGAAGCUCCUAUCCGGGGAGACGGCGCUCAGUGUGG